rnacentral:ncRNA from 1 species
CUUAUCAAGAGCGGCUUCGUGCGUUAUGCGGGGGACUGGUCCCUAUGAAGCCCGGCAACCUCUCCUGUUGAUACCCGUGGUUUUCCACGGUGCGGAGGGAAAAGGUGCUACUUCCUGCGGCGGUUAUCCGGCCGAAAGAUAAGG